CAUCAACAAGUGAAUUUUCAUUCUCGUUUCUUAUUUCCCCACAUUUCAUUUGUUGAGUCAGCAUGGUAUCAUGAGGGAUAAGGUUGCCCCAUGGUAAGAGUUUUUUAGAGUAAAACUAGAAAUCAUGAUUUGGCUCAAAAAGGUGCAACAGUGGAGUCGUUUGGUUCAUUUGUUUCCAGUCUGUUCACAAGAUGGGGUGACUUGGAUAUUUCUAUUGAUUUGCCCAACGGUUCUUAUAUUUCAUCUACUGGGAAAAAUCGCAGAAAGAAAUUGCUGGGAGAUGUACAGAUAGCUUUGAGACAGAGAGGCAAGAUAAAUAGAGGGGAUGCUGAUUCUUUAUCUAUUAAAAUAGAUGAACCUAAACCUGAUGUGAUGGUAAAUGAAUUGUUCUCAACCGAUCCUACUGGUGGAGGCAGAGAUCUUGGAAGUGAGCAAAUAUUAUUGGGUUUGAAUAUUGUUUUGACCUCUGAUGUUCACCCUGGGGAUGGAUGCGAUGUUUAAAAUUCAAGAUGUGAAGAGUAGUAGCAUUGUAUUAGUUUAAUUAGUUAUGAUGUAUUAAUAUUUAUUUUGUUCUUUAUAAAUUUAUGUUUUGCAUAUUGUGAUGUAAACAACAAUAUUAUGUAUUUUACAUUUUUAUUUAUUUUUUUCUUUAA